rnacentral:rRNA from 1 species
UACGGGGGGGGCAAGCGUUGUUCGGAAUUACUGGGCGUAAAGGGCUCGUAGGUGGCCAACUAAGUCAGACGUGAAAUCCCUCGGCUUAACCGGGGAACUGCGUCUGAUACUGGAUGGCUUGAGUUUGGGAGAGGGACGCGGAAUUCCAGGUGUAGCGGUGAAAUGCGCAGAUAUCAGGAGGAACACCGGUGGCGAAGGCGGUUCUCUGGGCAUGUCCUGACGCUGAGGAGCGAAAGUGUAGGGAGCGAACAGG